CGGAAGGAUCAUUCGUGUACAAUUUCACAUUUUAGGUGACAUGCAGUUGUAAGCUUUGGAUAGGUAAGGGACUUGUUCUUCUGAUCUGAAGUUUGAGGCAGCAGCUGCUCUGGCAUGUUCAAGUAACUGCUGCCAUAGUGCUAAGCAAUACUACAAUACUGGGUGCAGCAGUCAACGCAACAACAUUUUCAGCAACAGAUGUCUCGGCUUGGAUGACCAUGAAGGGUGCAGCGAAGUGCAAUAAACAUUGUGAAUUGCAGGUUUCUGUGAACCAAUAGGAUUUUGAAUGUAUGCGAUGCUUCUGGGAUAUUCUUGCAAGCAAAUUUGCAUCAGGAUUCCUUGAUACACAUUGAUUAUUUACAUGUUGUGCCAUGUGAAAUUUGUGCACAUCAAGUCCAGGACUUUUGAUGUGUUAAAACUUGCACGCAAAUUGAACAAUUGUAAUGCGAAGUCGCAUCUGUUAAAUUUGCCUAAGCUGCAGCUGUGUGUGCCCCUGCAUUACUAAAUGCUUCUUUUGAAAUAUGAUAUCAAGUAAGGACACCCACUGAAUUUAAGCAUAU
rnacentral:rRNA from 1 species